AGAUUGAACGCUGGCGGCAGGCCUAACACAUGCAAGUCGAGCGGUAGAGGGGUGCUUGCAUCUCUUGAGAGCGGCGGACGGGUGAGUAAUGCCUAGGAAUCUGCCUAGUGGUGGGGGAUAACGUUCGGAAACGGACGCUAAUACCGCAUACGUCCUACGGGAGAAAGCGGGGGACCUUCGGGCCUCGCGCCAUUAGAUGAGCCUAGGUCGGAUUAGCUAGUUGGUGAGGUAAUGGCUCACCAAGGCGACGAUCCGUAACUGGUCUGAGAGGAUGAUCAGUCACACUGGAACUGAGACACGGUCCAGACUCCGUACGGGAGGCAGCAGGUGGGGGAAUAUUGGACAAU
rnacentral:rRNA from 1 species